GCGUUUAGCUCAGCGCGGUAGUGCAUCGGUUUUGUAAACCGAAGGUCGGGAGUUCAAUCCUCUCAACCGGCA
rnacentral:tRNA from 1 species